ensembl:lncRNA
AGAGGGGGAUGGGAAAGGGGCUGGGAGGCUUAGGCAGGAGGCCCUGGUCAGCUUGGGAGGCAGGGAUGGAGACCCCAGGCAGGCUCGGGCUGCAGCCCCAGGCCCAACCUGCAUCUUGCUGUGCAGUCAGGCCCCUGAGGCAGUAGGCCGUAGCUGCCCUGUAUGGUGUCUGGUGGGCGAGGGGGUGGGGCAGGGAAGUGACAGCCCUCCUGUUCAGCAGGGACAGAGGCCCAGCCAGGUUCAGAAAGUGUGCGCGCGUGUGUGCAAGUGUGGGUGUGUGUGUGUGCGCGUAUUUUGCUUGUCUCUUUAGGGAACUUAGGAGUUGGGUUGGAGGUGGUGGGCAAUGGGAUGUCAAGUUCACUAUCACCCGGUGGCGAGAGGAAUCGGGAGGCGAGAGGAAUCGGGAGGCGAGGCUUGUAGGGUCCCCCGACCGGGGGACUCUCAGUGUCAGUGGCGAUGGGGAUCAGCCACACAGCGGUGCGCCUCUGUCCUCGGAUGGCCGAAAUGUUGGAGGGCCUCUGUCUACUUCCCACACCUGGGCGCUUCCCAGCGGCAAGGUUAACUGUAGAAGGACAGCCCACUUUUGUUUCUAAUCAGUGUUCGGCAGCCAGAGACUCUCCCGUGUGCCCACGUGUGGUUCGUGUCUGUGAGAGAGAGCACGUGUGUGCGGGCAUGCUGCUUCCCCACCUCCCUCCUCUCUGACAUGCCGUUCAAAACAGAUGUAAGGAAUUCCUUACCCCCACUCCUGCCCCUGCCUCCCAGACCCUCUGCGGGAAAAACCCAGCAUCCUCCCGUCCCCCUGGCUGUGUAUUUAUAUGGAUGGAAAUAUACUUUCUAUUUUGUAUCUUUGUGCCUGUAACCUCUGUCACCUUGUAUAAACCCUGAUGUACGCUACUUAUCCUGGAUAUGAAUGUAUUGUACACUGAAGCUGUUUCACUCCUGUACAGCUGCUCUAUUUCUUUGCGAUCCAUUGUAUGGCUUUAUAAAUGAUAAAGUGAAAGAAAAAUCUGUGUGUUGUUAACUAGCUCUGUUGUUGGGAAAGGGGCUCUGUUGCGCUUCCAGUGGGC